GUAGAAAAAGAAAAUUAUACUCGAGUUUUCUUUUCCUCAAAAUUUAAGACUGUCAAGUAAUAAAGACCGUCCUUCCUUGGCAGUCCAUAAAGAGGAAGAAAUGAAGAUUACAUGUUUGUUUCCUUAGGUAUAUUGAAGCGCUGGCCGGUGCAACACAAGAAUGUUGUCUUAGAUAACUACCCCAGCCCCAUAUUAUUCAUGUAAAAUGCUUUGUUACCUUCAAAAACUUCAUAAUCAUGAUGUGUUCACGAGAUAUGGAUAGACUGUUGCGUGAUGAUAUUUGUAAUUGUGAUCCAUCAUAGUUGUGAUAUUUGGUUUCCCUUGAAUAAAUUCUUCUGACAGUUUUCUACUUUGCAGCACAUAUUCCUUUUUUCUUUUACCCCUUUCUUAAUACAACAAGCUUUUGAAUAUUUGAGGCUUACAAGCUUAGGUGUCAUUGGUGCCCUCGUGAAGCUUAAAUGCCCAAGUUUUAGGGGUCGAUACACUUGCUGAACAACCUUCAUAAAGAUUGCUGAAAUACAUAAUCCAAGGGCAUGUAAUGCACUGAGAAUUUGUCCCGAUAUGCUUAGAGAUAAUACCUUCUGCAGUUCUCUUCGUGAGGAUCCAACGACAAGGAGUUGGCUACAACAGUUGCUCCAUAACGUUAAUGGGAAUAUUUCUUUUCUGCCAUUAGUGAUAUAUUGCACCAGCCAAGGACAUUCGAUAUAUCUCAUUCUGACCCUUGACACCUCUUGCAUAUGUUGCUGCCUGUUGCACCAUCCAUACUUUAGCAGAAAACACUCAGUCGAAAAAUAAGUGAUUGCGGCUCUCAGACAUAAUAUUGCACAAGGGGAAAUCAUUACUACCUACCAAGCCUCAUUUUGCCAAACGAUCUCGAGUCAAGAGUCCUCGUUAUUAUAAAUAUCUAUUUAGGACAAGCCUGGUCAUUGCAUUGUUAGCUUUCUCCAUUCCACUAUGAUGAAGUCUCCUCUCAUCUCUUUGUAAAGUUUCUUGAUAGAGAACUUGGAGAUCGAGAGCAAAUAUGUAAAGCCCCAUAAGUUGUUGGAAGCGUAGUGGACCAAAAUAAUAUUUUAUUACACAAGGAGCAAAAUAUUACACACACAAAAUAAAACUCUCAUAACUUUCUCAUAUUAGGUGCUUUGGCACUUCACUUUU